rnacentral:rRNA from 1 species
UGGGGAAUCUUGCACAAUGGGCGCAAGCCUGAUGCAGCCAUGCCGCGUGUAUGAAGAAGGCCUUCGGGUUGUAAAGUACUUUCAGUCGGGAGGAAGGUGGUAAGGUUAAUAACCUUGGCGAUUGACGUUACCCGCAGAAGAAGCACCGGCUAACUCCGUGCCAGCAGCCGCGGUAAUACGGAGGGUGCAAGCGUUAAUCGGAAUUACUGGGCGUAAAGCGCACGCAGGCGGUCUGUCAAGUCGGAUGUGAAAUCCCCGGGCUCAACCUGGGAACUGCAUUCGAAACUGGCAGGCUAGAGUCUUGUAGAGGGGGGUAGAAUUCCAGGUGUAGCGGUGAAAUGCGUAGAGAUCUGGAGGAAUACCGGUGGCGAAGGCGGCCCCCUGGACAAAGACUGACGCUCAGGUGCGAAAGCGUGGGGAGCAAACAGG